CAGAACCAAUAGGAACACAGUGUGCCUUCAAUGACCGGGCCGAUGUCACCCAAUCGGAAUGAAGAGAGGGCGGGAUAACUCUACCCACGUGAUCAUCCACGAGCGCCGUGCAGGGUCGCUGAGAACAACAGGAAGUGCAGAUGCCGGAGAAUUCGAGACAACACGGUGCAGAGCUGGAUGAACAUAGCAGGUCAAGCAGCAUCAGAAGAGCAGGAAAGCUGGCGUUUCGGGUCUCGAUCCUUCGCUGAGACCAAGAUUUGUGCAAUUGAGAUACCAGCGAUCGUUGCCAAAGCCCUGCUACCUCUGGAGAAGGAUUCGAAGCCAGGUCCCCAGGAUGUUAUCUGGGUCUCUGAAUAAAUAAUCUAGCGAUAAUACUGCUGCCGAUUUUAUCACCUGCGGAGGAUGGUCUAUGGCAUUCUGCAGGAGCCAUGAGACUUCCAGGCGUCAGAGUCAGUGUCGAGUACUCCCAGGUCAGUUACUGCGGUCAGAAUGGCACUGUGCUGCCACGUCUGUCCUGCUCCUGGGACAGGUCUUCACUAAGGAUAAUAGAAGGGGACUUCCAUGUGGGGAACUCAAUAAUUUUAACACCAAACUCUGACAGAAUUACUCAAUUCAUCAGCACCUGGAUAUUUGCAUUGUGUGUGAAUAUUGUGUUCCUGCUCAUUUCUCAUUUGCCGUGUAAAAUUUCUCUCUUAAAUCACCCCAUUUUCUCAAUAGAUCGUCCCUAAAAUUUUCAAUGUGUCCUGUAAUUUUUUUUAAGAUCAGUCAUGAGUCUACAUUUUAUCAUUCUAAAGUGUUUCUUUUGUAAACACCUCUAUCAAAGGUCCCCUCAAAAUCCUUUGUGACAAGGAGAGCAAUCUCAGUUUCCCCAAACACCUGAUUCCCCAAUGACUGUUUGCUGUCUAUAAGGCACUCGUCUGGAUUGUAUUGGAACAUUUUCCACUUCCCUGCAUGCGUACAGCCCCAACACUGUUCGAAAAAGUGAACAUCCUCCAGAAGAAGCGCUCUGUCAGAGUCGUGUCCCAUCCACCACAUUCGACAUUCCCCUCUACACCACCAAGGCACAGUGGCAUCACUGUGCCAAAGGUAAAGUCACCAUUGUCCUAACUGACCAUAGGGCUGGUUUAACCUGAAGAUUACCACACCCGACUCGAGGGGAGAGGUUGAGAAGGAGAGUCCAUCUAUUAUAGAUGGAUAUUUGCUGUGUACCAGCAACGCAAAAGUCAAAUGAAAGAAUAAUGUCAAAAAAAAAGCUCUAACCAUGCAACUAAAAACCUUCUUCCCUACAAACCAUUCUGUUAAAUCUCCUCUGCCCCCUGUCAGGGACCCUCCCGUCCUUCACAGUGUGUGUGGGAUCUUUGGUUUGCACAGACUCAGCUCGUCUCUGUUCCUGUCUGUGAUGUCAUCAUGCUGUGACAAUGGUACUGAACCUCACUGUCUGUGAGGGUGGUAGGCACAGAGAUCCUCAUAGCGUUUAAGGCAUAUUUAGAUGCCCACUUGUGAUGCCAACGCAGACAAGUCUAUGGGCCAAGUGCUGGAAAAUUAGUUUAGAGUCGUUAGGUAAUAGUUUUUAACUGGCACAGGCUGGAUGGGCCACAGAGCCUUUUUCUGGACUGGAGACCUUCGAGACUCUUCACAUAGGAAGAUGCCAAGCAAUAUUUCAAGCCAUUUCAGAAAAUGAGAUACUACAAUGAUCAAUCAUGAGCUAUUCAAUGUUUUCUGGAGAAAAGUGAGGUACAGCGAUGAAGUGGUUUACCAAGAAUUUCUGGAGCUUGAAUCCCAGGAAAUUGCAGGUGCCACCAUCAAGUGGAGGAAUAAAAAUGGGGCAUCAUCAUUAGGACUGUAUUAGAGGAAGGGACAUGUUGAGAUUUGUGAGGCUGGAGAAUAUUAGAGACAGGAAGGGUUCUGAGACUGGAGAAGAUUUAAAAAGUCGGGAAAAGUGAGUUUGGAGGAGGUUACAGAAAUGGUGAGGAUUGUGAGGCUGGAUUAGAUGUCAAACAAAGGGAGGUUUGUGAGGGUAAAGACAGUUAGAGCUAAGGAAGUUUAUAUGGGCUGGAGGAUUUUGGAGACAGGAGGGUGUUGAACAAAGAACAAAAAUUACAGCACAGGAACAGGCCCUUCGGCCCUCUAAGCCUGUGCCGAUCCAGAUCCUCUAUCCAACCCUGUCACCUAUUUUCCAAUGAUCUGUAUCUGUCUUCUCCCUGCCCAUUCAUGUAUCUGUCUAGAUACAUCUUAAAUGAUGCUAUCGUGCCCACCUCUACCACCUCCGCUGGCAAUGCAUUCCAGGCACCCACCACCUGCUGUGUAAAGAAUUUUCCACACAUAUCCCCCUUAAACGUUUCCCCCCUCACCUUGAAACCUGGAGGAGAUUAAAGGUGAGGUUUGUGAGACUGGAGAAUCUACAGAGAGGGUAAGAGUUUUGAGGCUAGAGGGGGAUUCCAACGAUAGGCAGGUCGUAAGGCUUGAGAGGGAUUCCAGCAACGUGGAGGGUGGUGAGGCUUGAGGUGAUGGCUACAAUAGUGCAGGUAGUGAGACUCGAGGGUCAUUCCCAUGAUAGGGAGGGUAGUGAGGUUUGAGGAAUGAUUCCUCCGAUAGAGAGGGUGUUGAGGCUUCAGCGCAGAUUAUCGUCUGAACAGCACAGUGGUGUACUUGAAGCAUGUGGAGUGCAGCAUUUACAGAAAGUGGUUCAACACCACUUUCUGCAAAUCAAAUAAAAAUGGCAAUCAAUAUUACUCUGGGCAGCAAAGGCCACAUCCCAUGAGUCAAUUAAAAUUAUGAUGUGUUUCUGGUUUGGAGAGAGCUAGAAGAAGCUGAGAUAAUUCUCCUUGGGGCUGAUUAGGAAUGAUUUUGUCGAGUAGUAGGUUUGUUUCCAGGAUAUUAGUUUGCAGAGAGAAAUUAUUAACAUUGUGCAAUGUUUGGUAACUGCAGAAUACAACAUCCAGAUAAUUGGCAAAUAAUGCAGGGUGAAAAUGUGAAGAUUACUUGACUCAGCAAGUUCCCAGGACCUGGAACAGUCUGAAUGGCAGCUGGAUGCAGAUUUAGCAGUGAUUCUCAAGAGAUUUGGGAUUUAACUUUUCAAGGCAUGAUCAAGAGGGUGGUGGACAAAUGGUGGGAGAAUUGGGUCAGAUUUGCAGCAUCUCUAGAAUAAGAGUAAAGUCUUUGACAGGGUUCCACAUGGUUGACUGAUGAGUAAAGUUAGAUCACAUGUGAUUCAUUAAGAGCUUGCUAAUUGGAAGCGGAAUUGGCUUAGUUGUAGGAGAGCCCGUGGUGCUGCAGGAUUUUUCAGAGUGGAGUUCUGUGACCACCGUGUUCCACAGCAAUCGGUACAGGGUCCACUUCUUUGUUUCUCAUUAAUAUAAAUGAUUUGGAAGAGAAUUUAAGGGACAAAAGUAAUAAGUUUGCAGAUGAUACUAGAAAUGGUGGUUACAGUAGUUAGUGAAGGCUGUCUAAGAUGACAGUGAGAUCUUGAUCAAUUGGCUCAAUGGGUUGAGGAGUGGAGGAUGAAGUUCAAUUUGAAUAAAUGUGAGACAUUGUAUUUUGGUAAAAUGAACAAGGGUAGGACUUGCACAAUUGAUGGUUGCACCCAGGGUAGUGUUGUGGAACAGAGAAAUGCUGAGAUUCAGGUACAUAAUUCUUCGAAGUUUAUGGAGAUAAGUAGACAGGGUGGUUAAUAAGUUGUUUAGCACACUUUCCUUCAUUGCUCAGAACUUUGAGUAUAGGAGUUGGGGUGUUAUGUUAAGAUUGUAUAGGACAUUGGUUAGGCUUCACUUGUGGUAUUGUGUGCAGUUCUGGUCACCCUGUUACAGGAAGGACACUAUUAUUAAACUGGAGACAGUUCAGACAAGACUCACUGGGAUGUUGCCAGGAUUGGAGGGCUUGAUGAUCAAAAUCGACUGCCAAAGCUAGGACUUUCCUCACUGCAGUAAAGGAGGUUAAGGGGUAACCUUAGAACUUUAUGAAAUCAUGAGGGCACAGAUUAUGUGACUAGUAAGGGGUUUCCCCUAGGCUGGGGGAUUUCAAGACAAGGGGAUAUGUGUAAGGUGAGAGGAGAAAUACAUCUUUAAAAAACGACAUGAGGGACAUUUUUUCUUUUACAGAGUGGUUCAUGUGUGAAACAAACUUUCAGAGUAGUUGGUGGAUGCAGAUUUCUACAAUUUUACUUCUGCGCUGUUCUUAGUCUUUCAGCGGGAUUGAAAGGUUGAGUUACAGAUCUAUACAAUGCCUGUCCUUCCCCCCUGGCUGUCCCACCUCUCUUUCCGUAAUUUUGUGCAAACAGACUGGAUUGCUUACCUGGAUGAUAUUUAUUUGUGAAUGAAUUUGUUCUAAUGAUGAUCUAGCAUAUUCCCCAAGUGUCGCUCCACAAAUGUCCAGAGGAUUUCUCAGUUGCACAAUCUGUUUUCUUCUGGUUUCUCACUCACUGCACUUACUUUCUGUUUGAAAGCUUAGUCUGCAAUUUGGAGAAUUCAAACUGUUCCACAUCCAGGUCUGACAGUCAUUUUGUUUAUCACAACCCAAUUAUCUCAGUAUUUUGAACAUUGAAGGAAAAAGCAGCACUCACACUUUGGAGAAAUGCAAAUGGUUUGUGUGUCAAAGAGUCUGUGAAGAUUCAUCUGAAAUGUCCUAACACCAGCGCAGUGACAGUGGGGAGAGACUGUGGAAAUGGGAAGAUUGCAGGAAGGAAUUUCUUCAUCCAUCCCAGCUAGAAACUGACCACCAGUGUCACACUGGAGAGAGACCAUUCACCUGCUCUGAUUAUGGAAUGGGAUUCGCUCAGUCAUCUAACCUGCUUAAACACCAGGGAGCUCUCACUGGAGAGAAACCAUUUACUUGCUCGGAAUGUGGGAAAGCAUUCACUCAGACAACUUAACUGCUGAUACACGCGCAAAUUCACACUGGAGAGAGACCAUUGGCCUGUUGUGUGUGGGAAAGGCUUUGCUGACUUGAAUUCCCCUCUGACACACCAGCAAGUUCACUCUGUGGAGAGACCAUUCAUGAGCUCUGAGUGUGGGAAAGCAUCCAAACAGUGGUUCACAAAGAAGCACAAUUGAAGGAUUUUGCUCUCACUCUCACGAUCAAAUGAACCAUAGUUUUGGGCUGUUUGUACUGAUGUUACUGAUCCUGCUCAAUUAAAAGUACUGGUAUUGUGGAUAAAA